GAUGGAAUACGCCGGUGGGAAUGUACCGGAGAACUCAAAAUCCGGUAGGGGCAACCCUGUGCGGGUUCAAGUCCCGCCUCCGGCACCA
rnacentral:tRNA from 1 species